GCUUACGGCCACACCCCCGCCUGGUUCACGCCCGAUCUCGUUUGAUCUCGGAAGCUAAGAUAGGUUGGGGCUGGUUAGUACUUGGAUGGGAGACCGCCUGGGAAUACCAGGUGCUGUAAGCU
ensembl:rRNA 5S_rRNA 5S ribosomal RNA